GCCGGAGUAGCUCAGCUGGUAGAGCAACGCUCUUGUAAAGCGUGGGUCAGGGGUUCGAGUCCCCUCUCCGGCU
rnacentral:tRNA from 1 species